GCUUAGUGUUCGAACCUAUGGAAUCAUGCACAAAAGUCAGACGAAGUAAAAAAGUAUUGGCCUAUAUUUAUAUAUCUAAUUUGGAAGUACUUGAUUUGAUUGAGCAUAUAGACUAACUUGAUUAAGAAUUAAGUUAUGGGUCAAAUAGGAUUGAAGUGUUGACUAUGUCUAGCUAGUACUACACAUGAGGUUCGGGUUCAAUCUCAGGGAUGAACAGUUUUUGAUCUAUGAUUCAAAGUACCUAUGAG
rnacentral:lncRNA from 1 species